rnacentral:rRNA from 1 species
CACGUAGGGGGCGAGCGUUAUCCGGAUUCAUUGGGCGUAAAGCGCGCGUAGGCGGCCGCCUAAGCGGAACCUCUAACCCCGGGGCUCAACCUCGGGCCGGGUUCCGGACUGGGCGGCUCGAGUGCGGUAGAGGAGAGCGGAAUUCCCGGUGUAGCGGUGGAAUGCGCAGAUAUCGGGAAGAACACCGAUGGCGAAGGCAGCUCUCUGGGCCGUCACUGACGCUGAGGCGCGAAAGCUGGGGGAGCGAACAGG